AACGCCAUCUACUACCAGGAGGCGGCGGAACUGGCUGUGGGUUACCACUGCUCCUGCCGGCACAGCAUGGGCGGGCAGCAUUGUCACGGUAGUGGUGGGCAGCGUGGCGCGACCAAGCCCUGAGGCGAAGGCCAUGUCGGCAGGCCAGGAGGUGCUAGUGGUGGUGUUCAGCACCGCUAUGCCCGUGCUGGUGUUGGAAUUGGUGUUGGUGAUCGUGUGCAUGAAGCGGAAACGUGUACGUGACUGCCCGUGUCGGGAUGAGGAGGCGCGGCGUCAGAACGAGCAGAACAUGGUGCACAACGCUGUGGGCGCCGUCAACAGUGUCUGGAUCACCACAUGAUCUAUUCCCUAAACUUCCCCAUCAAGAAACCCUUCAACACCGUGCCACCACCUGCCCCCUUGCAUCACCCACACGACACCCACCUCCACCACCAUCACCUCAACUAUCACGACUACAAGAAUCCCGCGGAGAACGCAUACUCCGCAGUGCCCAUGCGCAGCAGCAGGACUCAACAAGGAUGUGUCGCUGCUCUCGCUGGCUGACCGCCUUGAGAACGACACUGAGGCACCGCCCAGCCCCGCGUCACGCCCACCUAGGACUCCAGCGCCCCAUGCAAGGUGUUUCGGAAUUCCUUCCUGCCGCGCACAUACAGCCACAGGCUUGAAAUCAAGCGACCGCCGGCAGAGAGGAGCCUUCUCCUGGACUUUUGACGAGUACCUUGUUGAAGCACAGAACAUAGACAGCGUUGGAAAUUGGACUAGUACAGUUUGACCAGGGUCCAACAUUGCACCAGGAUGAAGUGAUACACGUGUGUAGAGGUGCCAGGAGGACGGACUCUUGGAACAAGCCUUCCGACAACAGUCAUCAGCCAUCAGCCAUCAGGCAAGCGUGGCGGAACCACUCUGUUGAUUUCCAGCAGCAAAACGUGCGGGAAACACACCACCGAGUAGCUUUCACACGGCUGACAGUGUCCACUCAAUCUCUGGCGGUAGAAGUAGUCGGUGGAGGGGGGAGGGUAGGCGAGGACGCAGCCGCUUGCACCUGGAGGAACGUGUGUGUGUGUGUGUGUGUGUGUGUGUGCUUGGGGAGAAGUAAUUAAACUAGUUAGGUAGUUAUAGUAGUGUGUGUGUGUGUGUGUGUGUGUGUGUGUGUGUGUGUGUGUGUGUGUGUGUGUGUGUGUGUGUGUGUGCGCGCGCGCGCUUGGGGAGAAGUAAUUAAACUAGUUAGGUAGUUACAGUAUUUAGAUUUUAUUUAGAAUUUUUCGGGAGAGUGAGAAAUGUAUCAUAAUGUUAUCAUUCUGAGUGUUGGGAACAAGAGUGAGAAGAGAAUUACUAUUCCUGAUUUUUGAUGUAUGCAUUUAUUAAGCUGAGCUGAAACAUGUGCAAAGUUGACAUUAACGUGAAUAAAUUAUUGAUAUCUUGUGUAUUGGAAAUCGAGCUUUUAAAAAGUGGCUAUUCUCACAAUUGUAAUGGACCAAAUUUAUUAAUAGAAAUCAAUGGAAUGUUCAUAUGCUCAAUACAUUACCUGUGUGUGUGUGUGUGUGUGUGUGUGUGUGUGUGUGUGUGUGUGUGUGUGCGCGCGCGCGCAGAGGUAGGCAGAGUGCUUACCACGUACUGUACAGCUCCACUCCUAAUCCACCACAGUGUUGCCAUGCUAUGUAUUGCUUCCUGACCGCCUGUGUUGCCAUUGUACCAAGGUGAAGUCAAUAAAAUGUCGACAAAUG
rnacentral:misc_RNA from 1 species